UACGUAGGGGGCAAGCGUUGUCCGGAAUUAUUGGGCGUAAAGCGCGCGCAGGCGGUUCUUUAAGUCUGGUGUCUAAGUGCGGGGCUCAACCCCGUGAUGCACUGGAAACUGGGGAACUUGAGUGCAGAAGAGGAGAGCGGAAUUCCACGUGUAGCGGUGAAAUGCGCAGAUAUCAGGAAGAACACCCGUGGCGAAGGCGGCAUCUCGUGGGACGGUACUGACGCUGAGACGCGAAAGCGUGGGAG
rnacentral:rRNA from 1 species